GCCGGAGGAGCCGCCUGAGCACGCCUGGCCGGACUUCCCCAAGGAGCUGCUGGACCUGCCACCAAGCCCUGGUCAAGAGGAGCCCAUGCUGGUUGACUGGCCUGGAACCGGUGCCAUGGAUGAGGCCUCCAGGCUGCUUGCAAUGAAGACCCUGGACAUCUGCAGGAGGAGGAGGAGGAAGGGAAAAGUGCCAGCACUAAGGCCAAGAUACACAAAUGGACUUAGGCACCUCUACAAUCCACAAAACCACUGCUCGGCUGCCACCUAACCCUGUUCACAAGAUGGUCCUGGAUUCUGAGGGCAAGGACCAUCCCUUUCUAUUUCCACUGACAGACCUACC